rnacentral:lncRNA from 1 species
AAGAAUGUAUUUUUGAAAAUGUUUCUUUAAUGGUGGUAAAGAUGAAAAGUAGUACCAUGAAAGUGGUAAACAUAAAAUUUUCCUUUGUUUUACUGUGUUAAGUAUAAAAGCUAUAAUUUUUAUUAUAUUUUUAUUUGUUUUUUUUUUGAAUUUUUUUUAACUUUAGGAAAAACAUCUACUAUCUAUAUUUAUUAUAAAAAGCACAUGAAUAAAAAUAAAAAAAUAAUAAUAUUGUUCUUUAAAAUUAAGUUAUUGGAUUUUUGUUUAGUUAAAUUAUUUAUUUAAUAUUUUUAUUAUAAAAUUAUAUAUAAUUAAUUGAAUUGUUUAGUAAUAAUUAUUUUACACUUAUUACAUUGUAACUUUAUUUUUUAUAUAAUAUAUGGCAUUUAGGUUUAGGAUUUUUAACGUUAAAACCCCUCAACUGAGUUUGUUUUGGGUAAAAACCCCAAACUAAGUAUUUAAUGAAAACUCCAUAAACUAACUUUAUUUAAUGAAUUAAACCCUAGCAUAUCAUAAUUACCACUACUACCGGUAAAUAUUUAGUUAAGGG